GCGACGACGCGCCGUCUACGCGUCCCGCGGCCAUCCGAGAGGCGCCGCCCGUACGGCACGGGGCGGCAGGACGAGAAAGGC
rfam:Olsenella sp. An285 An285_contig_1, whole genome shotgun sequence.